UGCAUGUCUCAGUACUAACCGCUUUAAGGCGAAACCGCGAAUGGCUCAUUAAAUCAGUUAUGGUUCCUUGGAUCUUACCCACACUUACAUGGAUAACUGUGGUAAUUCUAGAGCUAAUACAUGAACCUCGUGCCCCGACCAGUGAUGGAAGGGGUGCUUUUAUUAGAACAAAACCAAUCGGUCGGCCUACUCGACCGUUGCCUUGGUGACUCUGAAUAACUUUUGGCUGAUCGCACGGUCCUAGCACCGGCGACGCAUCUUUCAAAUGUCUGCCUUAUCAACUUUCGAUGGUAGGUUCUGCGCCUACCAUGGUUGUAACGGGUGACGGGGAAUCAGGGUUCGAUCCCGGAGAGGGAGCCUGAGAAACGGCUACCACAUCCAAGGAAGGCAGCAGGCGCGCAAAUUACCCACUCCCGGAACGGGGAGGUAGUGACGAAAAAUAACGAUACGGGACUCAUCCGAGGCCCCGUAAUCGGAAUGAGAACACUUUAAAUCCUUUAACGAGGAUCUAUUGGAGGGCAAGUCUGGUGCCAGCAGCCGCGGUAAUUCCAGCUCCAAUAGCGUAUAUUAAAGUUGUUGCGGUUAAAAAGCUCGUAGUCGGAGGUGUGUCUCGGACGGUUGGUUCGCUGCUUGUCGGUGCUUAACUGGCCGGUCCGGACGUCCUGCCGGUGGGGAUGUCAAAAGUCUCCGUUAUCCUUCUUUGGUGCUCUUCACCGAGUGCCUUGGUGGGCCGGCACGUUUACUUUGAACAAAUUAGAGUGCUCAAAGCAGGCCGUUGGUCGCCUGAAUACUGUGUGCAUGGAAUAAUGGAAUAGGACCUCGGUUCCAUUUUGUUGGUUUUCAGAACUCGAGGUAAUGAUUAAUAGGGACGGACGGGGGCAUUCGUAUUGCGA
rnacentral:rRNA from 1 species